rnacentral:rRNA from 1 species
UGAGUGCGAGCUGCUACGGCAGCGAAGUGGGUGACGUCAAGCUUCCAAGAAAAGCCCUAUACCCGUUAAGGCAUGAUUGCCUGUGCCCGAAACCGACACAGGUGGGGUGGUAGAGAAUACCGAGGGGCGCGAGGUAACUCUCUCUAAGGAACUCGGCAAAAUGGCCCCGUAACUUCGGGAGAAGGGGUGCCACCGCAAGGUGGUCGCAGUGAAGAGGCCCAGGCGACUGUUUACCAAAAACACAGGUCUCCGCUAAGUCGCAAGACGAUGUAUGGGGGCUGACGCCUGCCCAGUGCCGGAAGGUUAAGGAAGCUGGUCAGCGUAAGCGAAGCUGGCGACUGAAGCCCCGGUGAACGGCGGCCGUAACAAUAACGGUCCUAAGGUAGCGAAAUUCCUUGUCGGGUAAGUUCCGACCCGCACGAAAGGCGUAACGAUCUGGGCGCUGUCUCGGAGAGAGGCUCGGCGAAAUAGAAUUGUCUGUGAAGAUGCGGACUACGUGCACCCGGACAGAAAGACCCUAUGAAGCUUUACUGUAGCUUGGUAUUGUGCCCGGGCUCGCAAUGCGCAGGAUAGGUGGGAGGCUUUGAUCAUCGGCUUGCGGGUCGAUGUGAGCCACUGGUGAGAUACCACUCUUUGCGAGCUAGGGUUCUAACGGCCACCCGUGAUCCGGGGGCCGGACAGUAUCAGGUGGGCAGUUUGACUGGGGCGGUCGCCUCCUAAAAGGUAGCGGAGGCGCGCAAAGGUUCCCUCAGGCUGGUUGGAAAUCAGCCGACGAGUGUAAAGGCAGAAGGGAGCUUGACUGUGAGACCUACAAGUCGAGCAGGGACGAAAGUCGGCCUUAGUGAUCCGACGGUUCUGAGUGGAAGGGCCGUCGCUCAACGGAUAAAAGUUACUCUAGGAUAACAGGCUGAUCUCCCCCAAGAGUUCACAUCGACGGGGAGGUUUGGCACCUCGAUGUCGGCUCAUCGCAACCUGGGGCUGAAGUCGGUCCCAAGGGUUGGGCUGUUCGCCCAUUAAAGCGGUACGCGAGCUGGGUUCAGAACGUCGUGAGACAGUUCGGUCCAUAUCCGGUGCAUGCGCAGGAAUAUUGAGAGGAGUUCUCCCUAGUACGAGAGGACCGGGAGGAACGCACCUCUGGUGUACCAGUUAUCGUGCCAACGGUAAACGCUGGGUAGCCAUGUGCGGAGAGGAUAACCGCUGAAAGCAUCUAAGUGGGAAGCCCACCUCAAGAUGAGUAUUCCCAUGGCAUAAGCCAGUAAGGUCACGGGAAGAACACCCGUUGAUAGGCUCUACGUGGAAGCGCAGUAAUGCGUGAAGCGGAGGAGUACUAAUAGACC